CCUGCUGGCGUGGUAAUAAAAGCUGGUUUAGGUUUCAGUGCUGCAUGGUGCCAGUGUGGCCAGGGUAUGCAAAGCAACAGUUGAGCUUGUGUUGGUUAGCAGGUGUAGUUUGCUAGCAGCCGGGCUAGUUUUAGACACUACCAACACAUCAGUGGCUAUGGCCUUUUGUUUUCGCUUUGGAGUGCUCUUUCUCCUGUCUCUGCGGACAGCUUCAACACUUGAUGUUCCCACUGGAGUUCUUCAAAUGGAGUGUCGUGAGCGUUACUUCAUGAUAGCUGUUGGUCUCUCCUUUGCUGGGGAUAAACCUCGCUUUGAGGCUGUCGACAGCACAGGCGUACACGCCAUCACCGAGGAGUACGCGGCAGAGUGUGGAUACACCAUCAGUCUUCUCCCAGUUCUCGGCCACGUGGAGCUCAGAGCCUCUUACUUCAGCUGCCACACUAAUGAUGCGGAUGAUGAAGUGUUCACGUUCAACUUCAACCUGAUUGUAACACGUGGCGGGAAGCAGGCCACAUAUGCGCUGAACAAGACCUGCACUCUGUCGCUCCCGUGGUCUCCCCGAGAGGUUACCUGUGAGGUCAACUACAUGGAAGUGUCGGUGAGGAGUGAAGCAACAUGUCCGUAUGAGGAAAAUGGAGAUUCUGCUUUCAAACCUGUCCUUUACUCAGAUUGGAAGGUGAUGUUUCAAAGAGCAGAGGAUCAGUUUCUGCCCAUGAACCUCUCUGAAGCUCGGAAGCUGGGUUAUGUGUUUGCUCUCACAGAUGAGAGGCUUGUGUUUCGGACACCGUAUGAGCAACCCCAUUCUUUCAGCACUGAGGUGAAUGGCGUUCCAGUAGAGGUGGUCCAUGCAGUCUUGUUCUCGAGGCAAAGCUGGGUUGUCCUCGUGGUCGAUCUGUUGGCUGCUUGCUCCAUGCAUAAUGGGUCAUAUGACGGCGGCUAUAUGAUGUGGGAGACUUCUGAGCUGCUCCACAGUCUGGUGUCUCCCUUAAAUGAGACUGAGGUCAGUAUUGGAGUCAAUGGGAAACUUGUGGAGAAAAAAGUUGCAGAGGAGAGGGGCUACACCGUGGAGAAGAUUAACACCACAUUGCAAGUCAGUAUCCCUUACAAAGCUGAAGGAGGAUACAGGAAGAGCUUUGUGUCUCGAGACCUCUACGAAUACUACGUUUUUCGUCUCUACUUGGAGCAGAUCUCAGUUGACGAGGCUGAGAUUGCUGCCAGGCUUCGUUUUCACAGGAUUAUAGUCACUCCCCUGCUGCCAUGCCACAUUUUCACUGAAAACCAAACUCUUCUAAGAGAGCGCGCAUUCACCAUCUAUCUCGGUGGUGUCCCUGAAGAUGUGGUGUUAGUUUCUAUUCAGCUGAAUGGACAAGAAUUUACAUUGCCACUCUCAAAUAUGAGCACCUACAACCUCACUGAAGUUCUCCACCCCAACGGCACCCAUGGAUACACACUGACGGUGCUUUUUGAUGAUCCUGUUGUCAAACUGCAGUUCUCCAGAAAAGCCUUGGCACUGCAGCACAUCCUGAAUGUCAACUAUACACUAGCUGUUCAGCCUGGAAAUGAGCCUUAUUACCAUCAAACAGCAGUCACGGCUCUAACUCGUGUCUCGCCUCCAGCCUUUGAUGCCAACUGUUCGGAGUCCAGCAUACACUUUAAGCUGGACCAUCGCCCUUUUGAUUACUUCUGGGAGAUUGCCAUCGGCUCGGACGUGCUAACCUCAGACCUGGCAAACCGGCGUGGCUACAUCAUGAGUAAUGACAGCCAGAGUCUGCAGCUUGAUGUGCCGCUAUUCACUAAUGGGUAUAAAUACCAGAACGUCACUUUGAAGGGAUUCUCAGGAACUUUUGAGAUCCUUGUGAGAGUUCGUGAAACGUCAGAAGUCCAAACGUCCACAGUUAAGACCUGUCUGUUCAGUCCCCCAGAAUUCAUUAUGUGUUCGACUGAUGGGAGGGUGACCGUGGUGGCUAACUUGUCUCUGCCAAUCCCAAGUGGAGGGAGUCCAGCUGAAACCAGCCUCAAGGACAAAUCCUGUCGGCCUAAAGAUGCAGCUGGCACCAGGGCUCUUUUUUCUUUGCUGUUAAUGACUGUGGAGCUAUAAUCAUGCUGGGCAGGGACUCUGUGACCUAUAGAAAUGAGAUCAUCUUCAGCUCUGUGAGAAAUCCAGAAAAUCUGAGCAGUAGGAACAGGGUCAUGCUGCAGUGCACAUAUACUGUGGCUGGAUUACAUGCCCUCUUCUCGGCAUACAAGUUUGAGUCUGAAACAGUCGGCGUUGGUCGUAUCGUGCGUUCUAACCGCAUCAUUGAAGGUCCUGCAGUGGAGCCCACUAGUGCAUCCCCCGGGCAUACUGCAAGAUCGGUGACAAUACGACCUCGUUAUCAGCCUUCUGCAAAGUACAUCAAAGUAUCGAGUUUCCUAAAGAAUCUCUCAAACAAAGGAUUAAAGGAAACUUCACAAGUUAAUGUAUUUACUGUCAUUUAAAGAACAGAUUUCAAUGGGUUUUUUUAUGUAAUAAAGACUUAAAUGAAUCAUGUGA